rnacentral:rRNA from 1 species
UCCAAUGAGAGCAAACCUAAUAGCACCUUCACGGAUGUUGAAAAAAGCUUUCGGUUUGUAAAGAACUUUACGCGCGGAGGAAAGCGCAUAAGGUUAAUUAACUAUAUCGAAUGACUUUUCUCGCAGGAGAAGCAACCGGCCUACUCCGGUGCCGCAGCCGCGGUAAUAUCGGGGGGGGCAAGCGUUAUCCGAAAUAACUGGGCGUAACCGCCAGGAGGCGGUCUGUCAACUCGGAUAUGAAAACCCCGGGCUCCACCUGGGAACCGCAUCGAAACUGGCAGGCUAGAGUCUUGUAGAGGGGGGUAGAAAUUCCAGGUGUAGCGGUGAAAUGCGUAGAGGAUCUGGAGGAAUUCCGGUGGCGAAAGGCGGCCCCCUGGACAAAGACUGACGUUCAGGUGCGAAAGCGUGGGGAGCAAACAGGAUUAGAUACCCUGGUAGUCCACGCUGUAAACGAAUGUCGAUUUGGAGGUUGUGCCCUUGAGGCGUGGCUUCCCGGAGCUAACGCGUUAAAAUCGACCGCCUGGGGAGUACGGCCGCAAGGUUAAAACUCAAAUGAAUUGACGGGGGCCCGCACAAGCGGUGGAGCAUGUGGUUUAAUUCGAUGCAACGCGAAGAACCUUACCUGGUCUUGACAUCCACAGAACUUACCAGAGAUGGAUUGGUGCCUUCGGGAACUGUGAGACAGGUGCUGCAUGGCUGUCGUCAGCUCGUGUUGUGAAAUGUUGGGUUAAGUCCCGCAACGAGCGCAACCCUUAUCCUUUGUUGCCAGCGGUUAGGCCGGGAACUCAAAGGAGACUGCCAGUGAUAAACUGGAGGAAGGUGGGGAUGACGUCAAGUCAUCAUGGCCCUUACGACCAGGGCUACACACGUGCUACAAUGGCAUAUACAAAGAGAAGCGACCUCGCGAGAGCAAGCGGACCUCAUAAAGUAUGUCGUAGUCCGGAUUGGAGUCUGCAACUCGACUCCAUGAAGUCGGAAUCGCUAGUAAUCGUAGAUCAGAAUGCUACGGUGAAUACGUUCCCGGGCCUUGUACACACCGCCCGUCACACCAUGGGAGUGGGUUGCAAAAGAAGUAGGUAGCUUUAACGUCGGGAGGCGCCAUAGAGAUUAUACCCCCCCGCAA